rnacentral:rRNA from 1 species
UAAGACGUAGGGUGCGAGCGUUGUCCGGAUUUAUUGGGCGUAAAGAGCUCGUAGGCGGCUCGUCGCGUCGGUUGUGAAAACUCUAGGCUUAACCUGGAGCUUGCAACCGAUACGGGCGGGCUAGAGUUCGGUAGGGGAGACUGGAAUUCCUGGUGUAGCGGUGAAAUGCGCAGAUAUCAGGAGGAACACCGGUGGCGAAGGCGGGUCUCUGGGCCGAUACUGACGCUGAGGAGCGAAAGCGUGGGGAGCGAACAGGAUUAGAUACCCUGGUAGUCCACGCUGUAAACGGUGGGUGCUAGGUGUGGGGACCUCUCCAGGUCUCCGUGCCGCAGCUAACGCAUUAAGCACCCCGCCUGGGGAGUACGGCCGCAAGGCUA